GACGAACGCUGGCGGCGUGCUUAACACAUGCAAGUGGAGCGACGAACCAGGGCUUGCCCUGGGGCAGAGCCGCGAACGGGUGAGUAACACGUGGGUAACGUGCCCCGAUGAUCGGGACAACCCGGGGAAACCCGGGCUAAUACCGAAUGUGCUCCCCUCACACCAGUGAGGGAUGGAAAGGAAGCUUCGGCCUCCGCAUCGGGAUCGGCCCGCGGCCCAUUAGCUUGUUGGUGAGGUAACGGCUCACCAAGGCUGCGAUGGGUAGCUGGUCUGAGAGGACGAUCAGCCACACUGGGACUGAGACACGGCCCAGACUCCUACGGGAGGCAGCAGUGGGGAAUCUUGCGCAAUGCGCGAAAGCGUGACGCAGCAACGCCGCGUGGGG
rnacentral:rRNA from 1 species